AUUGAUCAUUUCCAAACGAAGAAGCAAAAAACCCACAGUGUCCAUCGCGAAGGGUGUUCGAUAAUUCUUACUUCCUUCUCGAAAUUUAGUAAAAACUUUAAAAGCAUUACCCUUCUUAAGAACAGUGUUGACCGCAAUCCGGAGGUCCCACAAUCAUGGCUGAUAAUGGCAUGCUGGGAUAGAAUUACCCCAUUCUGCGAAGAGUAAACGAAACCCGCCCGGCCACCUGGUGCUGUUACAAGCUCCCCUGUCAAGGAAAGACUGAAGUUGGCGACGAGAUUACUGGAAAUGA
rnacentral:lncRNA from 1 species